AACAAGUCCUGUAGUGGGGGAUAGCCCGGCGAAAGCCGGAUUAAUACCGCAUACGAUCUGAGGAUGAAAGCGGGGGACCUUCGGGCCUCGCGCUAUAGGGUUGGCCGAUGGCUGAUUAGCUAGUUGGUGGGGUAAAGGCCUACCAAGGCGACGAUCAGUAGCUGGUCUGAGAGGACGACCAGCCACACUGGGACUGAGACACGGCCCAGACUCCUACGGGAGGCAGCAGUGGGGAAUUUUGGACAAUGGGCGAAAGCCUGAUCCAGCAAUGCCGCGUGUGUGAAGAAGGCCUUCGGGUUGUAAAGCACUUUUGUCCGGAAAGAAAUCCUUGGUUCUAAUAUAGCCGGGGGAUGACGGUACCGGAAGAAUAAGCACCGGCUAACUACGUGCCAGCAGCCGCGGUAAUACGUAGGGUGCAAGCGUUAAUCGGAAUUACUGGGCGUAAAGCGUGCGCAGGCGGUUUGCUAAGACCGAUGUGAAAUCCCCGGGCUCAACCUGNGAACUGCAUUGGUGACUGGCAGGCUAGAGUAUGGCAGANGGGGGUAGAAUUCCACGUGUAGCAGUGAAAUGCGUAGAGAUGUGGAGGAAUACCGAUGG
rnacentral:rRNA from 1 species